rnacentral:rRNA from 1 species
GCUUGCUUCUUGGGUGGCGAGUGGCGAACGGGUGAGUAACAUAUCGGAACGUACCGAGCAGUGGGGGAUAACUAAUCGAAAGAUUAGCUAAUACCGCAUAUUUUCUGAGGAAGAAAGCAGGGGACCAUUUGGCCUUGCGCUGUUUGAGCGGCCGAUAUCUGAUUAGCUAGUUGGUGGGGUAAAGGCCUACCAAGGCGAUGAUCAGUAGCGGGUCUGAGAGGAUGAUCCGCCACACUGGGACUGAGACACGGCCCAGACUCCUACGGGAGGCAGCAGUGGGGAAUUUUGGACAAUGGGCGCAAGCCUGAUCCAGCCAUGCCGCGUGUCUGAAGAAGGCCUUCGGGUUGUAAAGGACUUUUGUCAGGGAAGAAAAGGACAGGGUUAAUACCCCUGUCUGAUGACGGUACCUGAAGAAUAAGCACCGGCUAACUACGUGCCAGCAGCCGCGGUAAUACGUAGGGUGCGAGCGUUAAUCGGAAUUACUGGGCGUAAAGCGGGCGCAGACGGUUACUUAAGCAGGAUGUGAAAUCCCCGGGCUCAACCUGGGAACUGCGUUCUGAACUGGGUGACUAGAGUGUGUCAGAGGGAGGUAGAAUUCCACGUGUAGCAGUGAAAUGCGUAGAGAUGUGGAGGAAUACCGAUGGCGAAGGCAGCCUCCUGGGAUAACACUGACG